GAAAAAAAAAAAAAAUAGAUUACUAACUUUUAAGACUAAGCAGUUUUUGCAGUCAGCCACAGAUCUUACUAAUAGACCUUCCAAUAAUGAUGCUGCCAUCUUUCUGAUGUCUUUUUUACCCCCCUGUAAUUUGGCUCCGAAUCUCAGGUGAAAAUGGCCAUUUUGACCUCCCUCUACAAAAUAGUGUAUUACUCAGUAAAUAUACAUCUGUGACAUUUAAUAUUUUGUCUUCCAUUACUAUUCAUGUUUGUCUUUAUCAGAAAAAUAAAUCAAUCAAUCAAUCAAAAGUGUGAGCCGGUUGGUUGGUUGAGUUGACACAGACUGACCCAGCUAAUAUGUUGUUUUAUUAUUUUGUCUGUUGCGUUGUCAUGGCAGUGUUGGACUUAUAAUGAUGCAGAAUAUGUUCAGUUACUGAUGUUGUUAUAGUAAUAUUCAAAACACAACAGCAGCAACUGCAGAAACUGACCUCCAUGUCAUGAUCUCACGAGGACACCGGCUCUGUGUGAUUUUCUACAUCAGUUUAUAUUAGGCUGCUAACAGGACUGGAGUCUACAUCUCUUCAUGUGAGCGAACAUAAACGUUUUAUUCCCUUUAGGAGUUUGUGAAUUCCCAAUUUGGAGAUCAGAGUAUUUGUAUAUAUUCAUCAGUACUUGUAGGUGUUUCUUUCAAGCCUGAAGUCACUAGCAGUGAGCGUAGUCUGCGAGCUAACGUUGCUUCCAGCUCUUCCAGAAGAGAGUCUUUUCCAGAACCGCUCCGUGUCCCGGACCCCAGGAUUAUUGUCCGGAAGGCUUCCCUCUCCAACAGACCCGCCAUGUUCUGCAGGAAGUAACCUUCACAGUAAACUCCAGUGCAUGAACAGUUGGCAGUGACUGUGGAUGAACCGCCAAGAUCUACCGCUCUGUUUUUGAGUAUUAAGCUGGGUUGGCCUGUAUCUUGUUAGUCUUACCUCCAGUAAAUCUGGAACGCCCAUCUUCAGAGACUCCGUCCCCCCGCAGUACAGGAUGUUAAACAUCAGAGGAAGGCCGACGCAGACCAGUUCCUCACAGUAGUCCUCCUCUUUGAUGGAGGUGAAGUCUCGCAGAAGGGAGAGCAUGACUCCAGCUCUGGACUUUUGCUGAGCGCUGCGUAGCGACUCCAACCACACAUGGAGUUUCCAUGGCACUCCUUCAGAAUCAGACAAUAUGUGGACAAUUACUUACAAAUAAUCAAAUGCUUUCUAGAUAGCUCAGCUUUUCAUAACCAUAUCAAAGAAGGAAGAUUCAUAGUUGAUAAUGACUUAAUGAAAGUGUUAUUUUAUCAUCUUUACUCUGUAUGUUCUCUGCAAAUUAUUUACA